CCAUGAAUCUAAACCUCCUGGUCAAAGCCUGAUGUCGUCAGAUCUCAGAAGAUAAACAGGUCAGGGCCUGGUCAGGACUUUGAUGGGAGAUCUCUGGGGACACCAGGUGCCACAGUGC
rnacentral:rRNA from 1 species